rnacentral:rRNA from 1 species
GACGAACGCUGGCGGCGUGCCUAAUACAUGCAAGUCGAGCGGACUUGAAGGAGUGCUUGCACUCCUGAGAGUUAGCGGCGGACGGGUGAGUAACACGUAGGCAACCUGCCCUCAAGACUGGGAUAACUACCGGAAACGGUAGCUAAUACCGGAUAAUUUAUUACAUAGCAUUAUGUGAUAAUGAAAGACGGAGCAAUCUGUCACUUGGGGAUGGGCCUGCGGCGCAUUAGCUAGUUGGUGGGGUAACGGCCCACCAAGGCGACGAUGCGUAGCCGACCUGAGAGGGUGAACGGCCAACGUGGGACGGAGACACGGCCCAGACUCCUAGGGGGGGCAGCGGGAGGAAAUCUGCCGAAAUGGGCGAAAGCCGGAGGGAACAGCGCCGGGUGAGUGAAGAAGGUUUUGGGUUCGUAAAGCGCUUUUGCCAAAGAAAAACGUCUCAAAGGGUAACUGCUAUGGGAGGGAGGUAACUUGAGAAAAAAGCCCCGGCAAACUACGG